rnacentral:rRNA from 1 species
UGGGGAAUAUUGCACAAUGGGCGCAAGCCUGAUGCAGCCAUGCCGCGUGUAUGAAGAAGGCCUUCGGGUUGUAAAGUACUUUCAGUCGGGAGGAAGGUGGUAAGGUUAAUAACCUUAUCAAUUGACGUUACCGACAGAAGAAGCACCGGCUAACUCCGUGCCAGCAGCCGCGGUAAUACGGAGGGUGCAAGCGUUAAUCGGAAUUACUGGGCGUAAAGCGCACGCAGGCGGUUGAUUGAGUCAGAUGUGAAAUCCCCGGGCUUAACCCGGGAAUUGCAUCUGAUACUGGUCAGCUAGAGUCUUGUAGAGGGGGGUAGAAUUCCAUGUGUAGAGGUGAAAUGCGUAGAGAUGUGGAGGAAUACCGGUGGCGAAGGCGGCCCCCUGGACAAAGACUGACGCUCAGGUGCGAAAGCGUGGGGAGCAAACA